CAGAGUUUGAUCCUGGCUCAGAUUGAACGCUGGCGGCAUGCCUUACACAUGCAAGUCGAACGGCAGCAUGAUCUAGCUUGCUAGAUUGAUGGCGAGUGGCGAACGGGUGAGUAAUACAUCGGAACGUGCCCUGUAGUGGGGGAUAACUAGUCGAAAGAUUAGCUAAUACCGCAUACGACCUGAGGGUGAAAGUGGGGGACCGCAAGGCCUCAUGCUAUAGGAGCGGCCGAUGUCUGAUUAGCUAGUUGGUGGGGUAAAGGCCCACCAAGGCGACGAUCAGUAGCUGGUCUGAGAGGACGAUCAGCCACACUGGGACUGAGACACGGCCCAGACUCCUACGGGAGGCAGCAGUGGGGAAUUUUGGACAAUGGGCGAAAGCCUGAUCCAGCAAUGCCGCGUGUGUGAAGAAGGCCUUCGGGUUGUAAAGCACUUUUGUCCGGAAAGAAAUGGCUCUGGUUAAUACCUGGGGUCGAUGACGGUACCGGAAGAAUAAGGACCGGCUAACUACGUGCCAGCAGCCGCGGUAAUACGUAGGGUCCAAGCGUUAAUCGGAAUUACUGGGCGUAAAGCGUGCGCAGGCGGUUGUGCAAGACCGAUGUGAAAUCCCCGAGCUUAACUUGGGAAUUGCAUUGGUGACUGCACGGCUAGAGUGUGUCAGAGGGGGGUAGAAUUCCACGUGUAGCAGUGAAAUGCGUAGAGAUGUGGAGGAAUACCGAUGGCGAAGGCAGCCCCCUGGGAUAACACUGACGCUCAUGCACGAAAGCGUGGGGAGCAAACAGGAUUAGAUACCCUGGUAGUCCACGCCCUAAACGAUGUCAACUAGUUGUUGGGGAUUCAUUUCCUUAGUAACGUAGCUAACGCGUGAAGUUGACCGCCUGGGGAGUACGGUCGCAAGAUUAAAACUCAAAGGAAUUGACGGU
rnacentral:rRNA from 1 species